ACAGGCCAGUAGUUAAAUUUUCUACGGAUGAGUCCUUGUCGGAUGGAUGGUGACUAACGAGAUGCACUUCUUUGCCACAAGUAAUUUUAAUAAAGGGAUUGUGUACAAGUGUUCAGAUCUUUUCUUGUGAGAAGGAUGCACAAAAUCAAGUUUUUUGUCGGUAGGAGCUUUUUUCGCUGUCCAACUGUUCAGUUCCACUGGAACAAGGGGUCCACUGGACUUCUAUUGUUUCCGAACUUGAUGUGGAUAAAAUCAACCAGAGUAUUAUGGUGAAACCAAGUUUCACCACUUGACAACUUACAGGGCCUUUCAAGGAAUUGUUCCUGUCAAAAAUGAGGGGCCAAUGUAUGAUGUUCAGUGAUCUUCUUCAGGUUCUGAAUUUGUUGUGGUCUAUGGAUAUAUCCUUACAUCGUCCUU